AGCAGCCGCGGUAAUUCCAGCUCCAAUAGCGUAUAUUAAAGUUGCUGCAGUUAAAAAGCUCGUAGUUGAAUUUCGGGACCAAUAUGUCGGUCGUGCCUCGGUACGUACUGGCAUCGUUGGUUUCUCCCUUCUAACGAACCAUGAUGUCAUUUAUUUGGUGUCGUGGGGAAUCAGGACUGUUACUUUGAAAAAAUUAGAGUGUUUAAAGCAGGCUCACGCUUGAAUACAUUAGCAUGGAAUAAUGAAAUAGGACGUUUGAUUCUAUUUUGUUGGUUUCUAGGAUCGACGUAAUGAUUAAUAGGGAUAGUUGGGGGCAUUAGUAUUCAAUUGUCAGAGGUGAAAUUCUUGGAUUUAUUGAAGACUAACUACUGCGAAAGCAUUUGCCAAGGAUGUUUUCAUUAAUCAAGAACGAAAGUUAGGGGAUCGAAGACGAUCAGAUACCGUCGUAGUCUUAACCAUAAACUAUGCCGACUAGGGAUCGGAUGAUGUUAAUUUUUAAUGACUCAUUCGGCGCCUUACG
rnacentral:rRNA from 1 species